rnacentral:SRP_RNA from 1 species
GUCGGGCGUGGUGGCGCGUGCCUGAAAUCCCAGCUACUUAGGAGACUGAGGCAUGAGAAUCGCUUGAACUCGGGAGGCGGAGGUUGCAGUGAGCUGAGAUCAUGCCACUCCACUCCAGCCUGGGUAACAGAGUGAGAUCCUGUCUCAA